CGCUGUAGCAAUACAGAGCGGCGCACGGGUGAGUAACACGUGGGAACGUGUCCAACGGUUCGGGAUAACUCAGGGAAACUUGAGCUAAUACCGGAUACGCCCCUUCGGGGGGAAAGAUUUAUUGCCGAUGGAGCGGCCCGCGUCCGAUUAGCUUGUUGGUGAGGUAAAAGCUCACCAAGGCGACGAUCGGUAGCUGGUUUGAGAGAACGAUCAGCCACACUGGGACUGAGACACGGCCCAG
rnacentral:rRNA from 1 species